GGGGAGUUAGUGAAGUGGCAUCACGCCGGUCUCCAAAACCGCCAGCGCAGGUUCGAUUCCUGCACUCUCUGC
rnacentral:tRNA from 1 species